rnacentral:tRNA from 1 species
UAUGGUUUAGUUUAAUUGUUAAAAUUUUGGUUUUCGGGGCCAAGGAUCUGUAUUUGAGCCAUGG